rnacentral:rRNA from 1 species
GACGAACGCUGGCGGCGUGCUUAACACAUGCAAGUCGAACGGAAAGGCCCUGCUUUUGUGGGGUGCUCGAGUGGCGAACGGGUGAGUAACACGUGAGUAACCUGCCCUGGACUUUGGGAUAACUUCAGGAAACUGGGGCUAAUACCGGAUAGGAGCUCCUGCUGCAUGGUGGGGGUUGGAAAGUUUCGGCGGUUGGGGAUGGACUCGCGGCUUAUCAGCUUGUUGGUGGGGUAGUGGCUUACCAAGGCUUUGACGGGUAGCCGGCCUGAGAGGGUGACCGGCCACAUUGGGACUGAGAUACGGCCCAGACUCCUACGGGAGGCAGCAGUGGGGAAUAUUGCACAAUGGGCGGAAGCCUGAUGCAGCAACGCCGCGUGCGGGAUGACGGCCUUCGGGUUGUAAACCGCUUUCGCCUGUGACGAAGCGUGAGUGACGGUAAUGGGUAAAGAAGCACCGGCUAACUACGU